rnacentral:rRNA from 1 species
CAGUAGCCACGGUAAUACGGAGGGUGCAAGCGUUAAUCGGAAUUACUGGGCGUAAAGCGUGCGUAGGCGGUGAGUUAAGUCUGCUGUGAAAUCCCCGGGCUUAACCUGGGAACUGCGCUUGUGACUGCACAGCUAGAGUAUGGCAGAGGGGGGUGGAAUUCCACGUGUAGCAGUGAAAUGCGUAGAGAUGUGGAGGAACACCGAUGGCGAAGGCAGCCCCCUGGGCCAAUACUGACGCUCAUGCACGAAAGCGUGGGGAGCAAACAGGAUUAGAUACCCCGGUAGUCCCUGUCUCUUAUAC